rnacentral:rRNA from 1 species
ACUCCUACGGGAGGCAGCAGUGGGGAAUAUUGCACAAUGGGCGCAAGCCUGAUGCAGCCAUGCCGCGUGUAUGAAGAAGGCCUUCGGGUUGUAAAGUACUUUCAGCAGUGAGGAAGGUGGAUAUGUUAAUAGCAUAUUCAUUUGACGUUUAGCUGCAGAAGAAGCACCGGCUAACUCCGUGCCAGCAGCCGCGGUAAUACGGAGGGUGCGAGCGUUAAUCGGAAUUACUGGGCGUAAAGCGCAUGCAGGUGGUUUGUUAAGUCAGAUGUGAAAGCCCGGGGCUCAACCUCGGAAUUGCAUUUGAAACUGGCAAACUAGAGUACUGUAGAGGGGGUAGAAUUUCAGGUGUAGCGGUGAAAUGCGUAGAGAUCUGAAGGAAUACCGGGUGC